CCAAAUCGGCUGCCCAAUCGGGGCUCGAA
rnacentral:sRNA from 1 species